rnacentral:rRNA from 1 species
GACGAACCGUGCGAACGUUGUUCGGAAUCACUGGGCUUAAAGGGCGCGUAGGCGGAUCGUCCAGUCUAGGGUGAAAUACUCCGGCUUAACCGGAGAACUGCCUUGGAUACUAACGAUCUCGAGGGAGGCAGGGGCAGUUGGAACUUCCGGUGGAGCGGUGAAAUGCGUUGAUAUCGGAAGGAACGCCGGUGGCGAAAGCGAACUGCUGGACCUCUACUGACGCUGAGGCGCGAAAGCCAGGGGAGCAAACGGG